UGGGGAAUAUUGCACAAUGGGCGCAAGCCUGAUGCAGCCAUGCCGCGUGUAUGAAGAAGGCCUUCGGGUUGUAAAGUACUUUCAGUCGGGAGGAAGGUGGUAAGGUUAAUAACCUUAUCAAUUGACGUUACCGACAGAAGAAGCACCGGCUAACUCCGUGCCAGCAGCCGCGGUAAUACGGAGGGUGCAAGCGUUAAUCGGAAUUACUGGGCGUAAAGCGCACGCAGGCGGUUGAUUGAGUCAGAUGUGAAAUCCCCGGGCUUAACCCUGGAAUUGCCUCUCAUACUGGUCCGCUCGUGUCUUGUAGAGGGUGGUAGAUUUCCCUGUGUAGCGGUGAAAUGCGUAGAGAUGUUGACGCCUACCGGUCGCGAAGGCGGCCCCCUGGACAAAGACUGACGCUCAGGUGCGAAAGCGUGGGGAGCAAACAGG
rnacentral:rRNA from 1 species